UUGGCCCGUCGCUGCUACACGGUAAAGCCACAAAUUUGGCCCGUCGCUGCUACACGGUAAAGCCACAAAUUUGGCCCGUCGCUGCUACACGGUAAAGCCACAAAUUUGGCCCGUCGCUGCUACACGGUAAAGCCACAAAUUUGGCCCGUCGCUGCUACACGGUUAAGAAAAAAUAUAUUAUAGUGUGUUGAGCCAAGUCUGGAGGACAUACUGGUGGUGUAGGAUUGCUCCUGCCCUAUACGGGGGACUACGAGCCUUUGCCAGGGGCGGCCCGACAGACUGACUAUAUUGGCGGGGCGCGCUAACCAAGUCGUUCUGUCGAUGAGGGCAGGCGUGACACUGACAUCCUGGUGUGCUGUUGGUCUGGUGUCCUGUGGUGUGUGUGUGUUUAUGGUGUGUCCCAGCCCCAAGCAGUUGCCAGUGACUUCCAUGCACCCUCCCUGACGAACACUGCCAAUUAUAGUCAAGUUUGAGUUUAAAAUUAUUAGUAUUGUCACAAGCAGCUGUUUAAUAAUUAUAAUCAACAAGCUUGCAAAUUAACAAAGCAGGGAGAGCUUGUGAUAUGGGUGUCGCUCUCUCUCUCUCUCUCUCUCUCUCUCUCUCUCUCACACACACACACACCGCCCUCUAUGGUCAUUGAGUUGCGACUUGGUUCGGAAAAUAUUAAGAAAAAAAACACACAGAUGAGAGGCAUAAUGACCUUUGUUAACAUUUACAUACAUACAUACAAACACCAAAUUCUGAAGACCACCAAAAAAAAUUCAUAAAAACUGCACUUGACAGAACUAUUGAAGAACUAUUACUACUAUUAUUAUUACUAUUAUUAUUACUAUUAUCUUACUGACAAGAGGAGGGAGAGACAAUGCAAAAAAUCUAUCUACUUAACCAAUAAAAAUAAUAAUAAUAAUAAUAAUAAUAAUAAUAAAAAGAGCAAUACCCUUGACACUAAAGAAUCAAAUGAGAGUUUAAACAGAUUCAAAUGAGGGUUGAAAAUGUAAACAAAUGGACAAGGUAUAAGUUCACCGAGUCUAGAAAAACAAAUGACUAUCGAAAUAUAAGCGAAAUGAGUUUAAAUUCAAUGACAGUCUCUAGAAAUUCAAAUGAGAGUCUGUAAAAUCAAAUGACUAUCGAAAUAUAAGCGAAAUAUGUCUAUAGAUUCAACAACAGUCUCUAGAAAUUCAAAUGAGAGUCUGUUUAUAAGUUCACUGAGUCUAUGAAAUCAAAUGACUAUCGAAAUAUAAGUGAAAUAUGUCUAUAGAUUCAACAACAGUCUCUAGAAAUUCAAAUGAGAGUCUGUUUAUAAGUUCACUGAGUCUAGGAAAACAAAUGACUAUCGAAAUAUAAGCGAAAUGAGUUUAAAUUCAACGACACUCUCUAGAAAUUCAAAUGAGAGUCUGUUUAUAAGUUCACCGAGUCUAUGAAAUCAAAUGACUAUCAAAAUAUAAGCGAAAUAUGUCUAUAGAUUCAACAACAGUCUCUAGAAAUUCAAAUGAGUCUGUUUAUAAGUUCACUGAGUCUAUGAAAUCAAAUGACUAUCGAAACAUAAGCGAAAUGAGUUUAAAUUCAAUGACAGUCUCUAGAAAUUCAAAUGAGAGUCUGUUUAUAAGUUCACCGAGUCUAUGAAAUCAAAUGACUAUCGAAAUAUAAGCGAAAUAUGUCUAUAGAUUCAACAACAGUCUCUAGAAAGUCAAAUGAGAGUCUGUGUUUAUAAGUUCACUGAGUCUAUGAAAUCAAAUGACUAUCGAAAUAUAAGCGAAAUGAGUUUAAAUUCAAUGACAGUCUCUAGAAAUUCAAAUGAGAGUCUGUUUAUAAGUUCACUGAGUCUAUGAAAUCAAAUGACUCAAAAUAUAAGCGAAAUAUGUCUAUAGAUUCAACAACAGUCUCUAGAAAUUCAAAUGAGAGUCUGUUUAUAAGUUCACCGAGUCUAUGAAAUCAAAUGACUAUCAAAAUAUAAGCGAAAUGAGUUUAAAUUCAAUGACAGUCUCUAGAAAUUCAAAUGAGAGUCUGUGUUUAUAAGUUCACCGAGUCUAUGAAAUCAAAUGACUAUCAAAAUAUAAGCGAAAUAUGUCUAUAGAUUCAACGAGUCUAGAAAUUCAAAUGAGAGUCUGUGUUUAUAAGUCCACCGAGUCUAUGAAAUCAAAUGACUAUCAAAAUAUAAGCGAAAUGAGUUUAAAUUCAAUGACAGUCUCUAGAAAUUCAAAUGAGAGUCUGUUUAUAAGUUCACUGAGUCUACGAAAACAAAUGACUAUCGAAACAUAAGCGAAAUGAGUUUAAAUUCAAUGACAGUCUCUAGAAAUUCAAAUGAGAGUCUGUUUAUAAGUUCACUGAGUCUAUGAAAUCAAAUGACUGUCGAAAUAUAAGCGAAAUGAGUUUAAAUUCAACGACACUCUCUAGAAAUCCAAAUGAGAGUCUGUGUUUAUGUGUCAAGGUGUUGAUUGAGUGUCCAAACCAAAACAAACCUAGAAAUUAGUUGCUUAUUUGAAUGCAGCUGAAUAAUAAUAAUAAUAGUAAUAAUAAUAAUAAUAAUAAUAAUAAUAAUAAUAAUAAUAAUAAUAAUAAUAAUAAUAAUAAUAAUAAUGCAAAAUAUGAGACUUUGAAUUGAAGAAGAGGGAAAAAGGACAUUGAAAGAUAGAGAGAAGGAGAAGAGGAAGGAAGAAGAGGAGGAGGAGAAGGGGAAGGAAGAAGAGGAGGAAGAGAGAGGAAGGAAGGAGGAAGAGGAAAAAAGGAAGAAUAAGAAGAGGAGAGAGAGAGAGAGAGAGGAAAAAAUUAAUAUAAAUAGAAAAUAAAAAAAAUAGAAAAAAAAUAAGUAAGGGCUUUAAACGCACAUAAGUCGCCACUGCGCGCACACACACACUGGCGUACACACAGAGAGAGACCGGACGCGCACAUAUGUACACACACAGCACUGUAAUAUCACAAAGAUCUGGCUCCCUGUCAUAACAACUUGAAAUGGACAGAGACUCGUAAUGUACACACACAAAUACGCACAUGGCCUCGCGCGCACACACAUUCCUUCACGCACAUACAUACACACACACAUAUGCAUAUUAGGAGGAGGAGGAGGAGGAGGA